GAUGAACGCUGGCGGUAUGCUUAACACAUGCCAGUCGAACGGACUCUUCGGAGUUAGUGGCGGACGGGUGAGUAGCGCGUGAGAAUCUGGCUUUGGGUUCGGGACAACCACUGGAAACGGUGGCUAAUACCGGAUGUGCCGAGAGGUAAAAGAGAAAUUGCCUGAAGAUGAGCUCGCGUCUGAUUAGCUAGUUGGUGAGGUAAAGGCUCACCAAGGCAGCGAUCAGUAGCUGGUCUGAGAGGAUGACCAGCCACACUGGGACUGAGACACGGCCCAGACUCCUACGGGAGGCAGCAGUGGGGAAUUUUCCGCAAUGGGCGAAAGCCUGACGGAGCAAUACCGCGUGAGGGAAGAAGGCUCUUGGGGUGUAAACCUCUUUUCUUAGGGAAGAACAAAAUGACGGUACCUAAGGAAUCAGCAUCGGCUAACUCCGUG
rnacentral:rRNA from 1 species